rnacentral:rRNA from 1 species
UGGUGGAGCGAUUCGUCUGGUCAAUUCCGAUAACGAACGAGACUCUAGCGUACUAAAUAGUUCGGGGACCCCCACAAAGGGGCCCCGCUUCAACUUCUUAGAGGGACAGGUGGCGUUUAGCCACACGAGAUUGAGCAAUAACA